UUUUUUUUAAUUCUUCUUGGUGAAAGCAACGCAGGUGUUUCGUUUUUUCAGCAAUACCUACUAGUGGCUUCCUCAACAAAGACCUCUGAAGAAAAGAGGAUUCGUUUCUACAGAAAUGGCUGCGUUUGUUUGCGUCAUUAGGUGAUUUUACAAAGAGCUGGGACAAUGUAGCUGUGUUAGUUGAUGAAACACUUAUACCACAAGAGCUGUGUAGCCCGAUCCUACAGACCCCAACACACCAGAACA